rnacentral:RNase_P_RNA from 1 species
CGAGUCGACCGGGCGGUCGCGUCGGCGGGCCAGGUGCCCGUCGCCGAGGAACGUCCGGACUCCACAGGGCAGGGUGGUUGCUAACGGCAACCCGGGGCGACCCGCGGGACAGUGCCACAGAGAACAGACCGCCGGUCCCCAACGGGGACGGUAAGGGUGAAACGGUGGGGUAAGAGCCCACCAGCAUCCCGGGUGACCGGGAUGGCUCGGUAAACCCCACCCGGAGCAAGGCCAAAAUGGGCCGUCACCGCAAGAUGACGACCUGCGCAGACGCCUGAGGGCUGCCCGCCCGAUGUCUGCGGGUAGGCCGCUGGAGCCUGCCGGCGACGGCAGGCCUAGAUGGAUGGCCGCCGCUGGCGCGUAACCCCGCGAGGGGCGCGCGCCGGGCACAGAAUCCGGCGUACAGGUCGACUCGUCCG